GAUUGAACGCUGGCGGCAUGCCUAACACAUGCAAGUCGAACGGUAGCAGGCCUUCGGGUGCUGACGAGUGGCGGACGGGUGAGUAAUGCGUAGGAAUCUGUCUUUUAGUGGGGGACAACCCAGGGAAACUUGGGCUAAUACCGCAUGAGCCCUGAGGGGGAAAGCGGGGGAUCUUCGGACCUCGCGCUAAGGGAAGAGCCUACGUCUGAUUAGCUAGUUGGUAGGGUAAAGGCCUACCAAGGCGACGAUCAGUAGCUGGUCUGAGAGGACGACCAGCCACACUGGGACUGAGACACGGCCCAGACUCCUACGGGAGGCAGCAGUGGGGAAUUUUUCGCAAUGGGGGCAACCCUGACGAAGCAAUGCCGCGUGGAUGAAGAAGGCCUUCGGGUUGUAAAGUCCUUUCGUGGGGGACGAAAAGGCGGGUCCUAAUACGAUCUGCUGUUGACGUGAACCCAAGAAGAAGCACCGGCUAACUCCGUGCCAGCAGCCGCGGUAAUACGGGGGGUGCAAGCGUUA
rnacentral:rRNA from 1 species